rnacentral:rRNA from 1 species
UACGUAGGGUCCGAGCGUUGUCCGGAAUCAUUGGGCGUAAAGAGCGUGUAGGCGGCCUGGUAAGUCCGCUGUAAAAGUCAAAGGCUCAACCUUUGAAUGUCAGUGGAUACUGCCGGGCUAGAGUCCGGAAGAGGCGAGUGGAACUCCUGGUGUAGCGGUGGAAUGCGCAGAUAUCAGGAAGAACACCAACGGCGAAGGCAGCUCGCUAGGACGGUACUGACGCUGAGACGCGAAAGCGUGGGGAGCGAACAGG